GACGAACGCUGGCGGCGUGCUUAACACAUGCAAGUCGAACGGAAAGGCCCUGCUUUUGUGGAGUGCUCGAGUGGCGAACGGGUGAGUAACACGUGAGUAACCUGCCCUUGACUUUGGGAUAACUUCAGGAAACUGGGGCUAAUACCGGAUAGGAGCUCCUGCUGCAUGGUGGGGGUUGGAAAGUUUCGGCGGUUGGGGAUGGACUCGCGGCUUAUCAGCUUGUUGGUGGGGUAGUGGCUUACCAAGGCUUUGACGGGUAGCCGGCCUGAGAGGGUGACCGGCCACAUUGGGACUGAGAUACGGCCCAGACUCCUACGGGAGGCAGCAGUGGGGAAUAUUGCACAAUGGGCGGAAGCCUGAUGCAGCAACGCCGCGUGCGGGAUGACGGCCUUCGGGUUGUAAACCGCUUUCGCCUGUGACGAAGCGUGAGUGACGGUAAUGAGUAAAGAAGCACCGGCUAACUACGUG
rnacentral:rRNA from 1 species